UGGAAAGACCUUCAAUUGUUCUCUGAACAAUUGGUUUUUAAUUAGGUCUUUCCACCUUUCUGUGGAAAGACCUAUUGUAUUUCUUCUGAUUAUUAUUAUUUUUUUUUUUUUUUUUUUUCUUCCGCCUAAUUUUGAUAUUGCGACAAAUGUUUGUUUCGCAAUAUGUCGCUUAGAUAUUUCUCAUAUUGUAUCGUACAGUUUAUGCGCUUUUACAUUUCACCCUG
rnacentral:lncRNA from 1 species